UUAUAACUUUUUUUUUAGAAUUGAAUUAGAUCGAAAGGGAGGGAGCUUAAUCAGUUUGUGAAGUCGGUUACCAAUUCCUACAUCAAAUAAUAAACCUCUGAUGAUCGAUCUUCUUAUGACAACCUUUUCGGAUCAGCACGGCCAGGGUACCUGAACUUUCUUACUCCUAAGUUUUUCCCAGCCAAGCAACUGUUGCUGAUAACGUCGAUUCUAAUAUUCCGGAAUUUCGUGCCAUCACCACCGUUCGGCUUAAAAUUGUUUUAAACGCAUCACCGGCUCCAUAACAGCUCAACGGUGCAAAGAAAAGAUGGAAGAAGCCAAAUUUUGCUCCCUACUUUUGUCGGUGGAUGAAUCCCUCGA